rnacentral:rRNA from 1 species
AAAACUCUAAGCGGUGGAUCACUCGGCUCAUGGGUCGAUGAAGAACGCAGCAAACUGUGCGUCAUCGUGUGAACUGCAGGACACAUGAACAUCGACAUUUUGAACGCAUAUCGCAGUCCAUGCUGUUAUGUACUUUAAUUAAUUUUAUAGUGCUGCUUGACUACAUAUGGUUGAGGGUUGUAAGACUAUGCUAAUUAAGUUGCUUAUAAAUUUUUAUAAGCAUAUGGUAUAUUAUUGGAUAAAUAUAAUAAUUUUUAUUCAUAAUAUUUAAAAAAUAAAUGAAAAACAUUAUCUCACAUUUGAAUGUGAAAAACGAAGAGAAAUAUUUUCUUUUUCAAUCAAAUAAUACUGAGAAAUGUCUAGCAUAAAAAAUUGAAAUAUUUUUCAUCUAGAAUUGUCUCUUAUUAAUGAUUCGGAAAUAGAAAAAUCUUGGUUAUGUUAUUAUUCUUCGUUGGUUCGUUAAAAAUGGAUAAAUAAAAACUUUGCAUACAAGAAUUAAUAAAAAUGUUAUAACGAAUUUAAUUAAAUGUUUUAUCAUUAUAUAUAAAGAAUUUAUGCAAGAUAAAGUUAUAUACAACCUCAACUCAUAUGGGACUACCCCCUGAAUUUAAGCAUAUUAAUUAGGGAGGAAAAGAAACUAACAAGGAUUUUCUUAGUAGCGGCGAGCGAAAAGAAAACAGUUCAGCACUAAGUCACUUUGUCUAUAUGGCAAAUGUGAGAUGCAGUGUAUGGAGCGUCAAUAUUCUAGUAUGAGAAAUUAACGAUUUAAGUCCUUCUUAAAUGAGGCCAUUUACCCAUAGAGGGUGCCAGGCCCGUAUAACGUAAUGAUUACUAGAUGAUGUUUCCAAAGAGUCGUGUUGCUUGAUAGUGCAGCACUAAGUGGGUGGUAAACUCCAUCUAAAACUAAAUAUAACCAUGAGACCGAUAGUAAACAAGUACCGUGAGGAAAGUUGAAAAGAACUCUGAAUAGAGAGUUAAACAGUACGUGAAACUGCUUAGAGGUUAAGCCCGAUGAACCUGAAUAUCCGUUAUGGAAAAUUCAUCAUUAAAAUUGUAAUAUUUAAAUAAUAUUAUGAGAAUAGUGUGCAUUUUUUUCCAUAUAAGGACAUUGUAAUCUAUUAGCAUAUACCAAAUUUAUCAUAAAAUAUAACUUAUAGUUUAUUCCAAUUAAAUUGCUUGCAUUUAACACAGAAUAAAUGUUAUUAAUUUGAUAAAGUGCUGAUAGAUUUAUAUGAUUACAGUGCGUUAAUUUUUCGGAAUUAUAUAAUGGCAUAAUUAUCAUUGAUUUUUGUGUUUAUUAUAUGCACUUGUAUGAUUAACAAUGCGAAAGAUUCAGGAUACCUUCGGGACCCGUCUUGAAACACGACCAAGGAGUCUAACAUAUGUGCAAGUUAUUGGGAUAUAAACCUAAUAGCGUAAUUAACUUGACUAAUAAUGGGAUUAGUUUUUAGCUAUUUAUAGCUAAUUAACACAAUCCCGGGCGUUCUAUAUAGUUAUGUAUAAUGUAUAUUUAUAUUAUUUAUGCCUCUAACUGGAACGUACCUUGAGCAUAUAUGCUGUGACCCGAAAGAUGGUGAACUAUACUUGAUCAGGUUGAAGUCAGGGGAAACCCUGAUGGAAGACCGAAACAGUUCUGACGUGCAAAUCGAUUGUCAGAAUUGAGUAUAGGGGCGAAAGACCAAUCGAACCAUCUAGUAGCUGGUUCCUUCCGAAGUUUCCCUCAGGAUAGCUGGUGCAUUUUAAUAUUAUAUAAAAUAAUCUUAUCUGGUAAAGCGAAUGAUUAGAGGCCUUAGGGUCGAAACGAUCUUAACCUAUUCUCAAACUUUAAAUGGGUAAGAACCUUAACUUUCUUGAUAUGAAGUUCAAGGUUAUGAUAUAAUGUGCCAGUGGGCCACUUUUGGUAAGCAGAACUGGCGCUGUGGGAUGAACCAAACGUAAUGUUACGGUGCCCAAAUUAACAACUCAUGCAGAUACCAUGAAAGGCGUUGGUUGCUUAAAACAGCAGGACGGUGAUCAUGGAAGUCGAAAUCCGCUAAGGAGUGUGUAACAACUCACCUGCCGAAGCAACUAGCCCUUAAAAUGGAUGGCGCUUAAGUUGUAUACCUAUACAUUACCGCUAAAGUAGAUGAUUUAUAUUACUUGUGAUAUAAAUUUUGAAACUUUAGUGAGUAGGAAGGUACAAUGGUAUGCGUAGAAGUGUUUGGCGUAAGCCUGCAUGGAGCUGCCAUUGGUACAGAUCUUGGUGGUAGUAGCAAAUAAUCGAAUGAGACCUUGGAGGACUGAAGUGGAGAAGGGUUUCGUGUGAACAGUGGUUGAUCACGAGUUAGUCGGUCCUAAGUUCAAGGCGAAAGCCGAAAAUUUUCAAGUAAAACAAAAAUGCCUAACUAUAUAAACAAAGCGAAUUAUAAUACACUUGAAUAAUUUUGAACGAAAGGGAAUACGGUUCCAAUUCCGUAACCUGUUGAGUAUCCGUUUGUUAUUAAAUAUGGGCCUCGUGCUCAUCCUGGCAACAGGAACGACCAUAAAGAAGCCGUCGAGAGAUAUCGGAAGAGUUUUCUUUUCUGUUUUAUAGCCGUACUACCAUGGAAGUCUUUCGCAGAGAGAUAUGGUAGAUGGGCUAGAAGAGCAUGACAUAUACUGUUGUGUCGAUAUUUUCUCCUCGGACCUUGAAAAUUUAUGGUGGGGACACGCAAACUUCUCAACAGGCCGUACCAAUAUCCGCAGCUGGUCUCCAAGGUGAAGAGUCUCUAGUCGAUAGAAUAAUGUAGGUAAGGGAAGUCGGCAAAUUAGAUCCGUAACUUCGGGAUAAGGAUUGGCUCUGAAGAUUGAGAUAGUCGGGCUUGAUUGGGAAACAAUAACAUGGUUUAUGUGCUCGUUCUGGGUAAAUAGAGUUUCUAGCAUUUAUGUUAGUUACUUGUUCCCCGGAUAGUUUAGUUACGUAGCCAAUUGUGGAACUUUCUUGCUAAAAUUUUUAAGAAUACUAUUUGGGUUAAACCAAUUAGUUCUUAUUAAUUAUAACGAUUAUCAAUUAACAAUCAAUUCAGAACUGGCACGGACUUGGGGAAUCCGACUGUCUAAUUAAAACAAAGCAUUGUGAUGGCCCUAGCGGGUGUUGACACAAUGUGAUUUCUGCCCAGUGCUCUGAAUGUCAAAGUGAAGAAAUUCAAGUAAGCGCGGGUCAACGGCGGGAGUAACUAUGACUCUCUUAAGGCGUUGGAUUUUCUAUCUAUCGUCGGCCUCAAACUUAAUGCCGACAAAUGUUUUACCGUUGGCAUUAAGGGCCAGCCGAAACAGAAGUGUACCGUGUUAGAGGCACAGAGCUUCUACGUAGGCUCGAGUGAGAUUCCAUCACUGAAGCGCACGGACGAGUGGAAGUACUUAGGCAUCAACUUCACUGCAACCGGGAGGGUUCGAUGCAAUCCGGCCGAGGACAUUGGUCCAAAGCUACAAAGAUUGACAAAGGCUCCCUCAAAUAACAACAGAGGUUGUUCGCCCUUCGGACUGUCCUUAUCGCACAGCUCUACCACAAGUUAGCCCUUGGGAGUGUGGCGAUAGGCGUCCUAAGAAAAACUGAUAAACUUAUAAGAUAUUAUGUGCGAAGAUGGCUAAAUCUUCCGCUGGAUGUGCCGAUAGCAUUUGUUCAUGCACCCCCAAAAAGUGGAGGUCUCGGAAUUCCAUCACUAAGAUGGGAAGCUCCAAUGUUAAGGCUAAGACGCUUGAGUAACAUUAAAUGGCCUCACCUUACGCAAAACGAGGUAGCCAGCUCUUUCCUCGAAGCCGAAAAACAACGGGCCGAGAUAGAUUAUUAGCUGAACAAAAUGAACUGUUAUCGCGUCCGGCAAUAGAAAAAUAUUGGGCGAACAAGUUGUACCUCUCAGUUGAUGGUAGCGGACUCCGUGAAGCGGGCCAUUAUGGCCGCAACACGGGUGGGUUAGUCAACCCACGCGUUUAUUAACAGGAAAGGAAUAUAUAGACGGUAUUCGUC